rnacentral:rRNA from 1 species
AUGACAACUAACUACUCCCCCACUAAAUCCCAUUCCCUAUUUCAUGAUGCUCCUCAUGGUUCCUCCUUCCCAGGCACCACGGCCAAGCCAUCAGCCAUGGCCUCCGGCCGUCGUCCGACCACCGCCCUAGUCCUGACGUCGUUGCUAUGCCUCUACCACGCGCCAAGCUGUGUCCUUUCGCUCUCCUUCACCCUCGACUUCUCCGACCCCACCGCCGGCUCGUCGAUUGUCGUCUCCAGCGACGCACUCGUGAGUCCACCGGCGCUCCAGCUGACGAAAAACAGCUGGGCAUCGUACCGGUACAAGGUGCCGCUAUGGAACGGCGCCACCGGCGAGAUGGCUAGCUUCGCCACCGCCUUCUCCUUCCGGAUCGCCCCAGACAAGGACAGCCUGCCGCAGCAGCCAGGCAAUAGGAUGACCUUCUUCCUCGGCCAUCUCCCUUCCGUGGACUUCCCGCGCAGCAGCAGCAGCGCCGGCGGCGGCCCGGCCGUCGUGACGGUAGAGUUUGACGCUUUCCCCAACCAUGUCGGCAUCGACAUCAGCUCCGCCAACUCCACGGCGUCCGCGCACACGACGGCGACAUGGCCGGGCAAGAACCUCACGACGUCCAGUGUCAUGGAGGCCACCGUGAAAUACCACAACGACUCCAGGAUGCUGGCUGUUGCUCUCCUCAUCGACGGUGCCCUGUACCAGGUCAGUGCCACCGUUGAUCUGCGCCGAAAUCUGCCGGAGGAGGUGGCGAUCGGCUUCUCCGCCGGGAUGCACCGGAUACUGUUGUGGUCGUUCGGUUCCACCCUGCCGGAGUCCAAGCAGGAGGCAUCUCCUCAGCUUGCUGAACCUCCUCUCCCAGCCAGCAGCUACGACCACAAGAAGAUAGCAUUGGUCCUACUAUUCCUAGGAACGAUCACGACAAGGUGUGUCCGAAUUGGAUUUCAGUUUCGAUUCAAGACAUCAUCGAGUCGUGCUACCUUAGCUGUCCUAGCCUAG